UAGCAUCCCUGCAACAGACUGGUUAUGCUUAAUUAUAUUUUCCCCUCCAACUCUUAAUUGAGAAAAUAAAACACUGGCCAAGCAAAUGAUCAUUAUUUUGUGAAACACAGCUCUUUGGAACUCAGAUUCUUUGUAUCAUCAGAUUUAAAGAUGAGAGCUGUCUAUUAGGUGACAUUGAAACAACUGGUUGCUGGAGAGUAGUAAUGCUUUUCUGGUAGAUAUAUAGCAUUUUAGUUUCCUGUGCAGAAUGAGUCAGUUUUAAUAUAGUAAUAAAAGAGGCUAGAGAUAAAGUAAGGUUCAUAUGAAUCUUUUCCCUGUUUUUCAGGUUGUUAUUAAGGAAAACCCUUGUUCUGUCCAUUAGGUGGUGCCCACUAUGCAUUUUUGCAUUUGUGGAGGAAAGAAAGAUUCUAGAGACUUAGAAGCAAACAAAAUCCAUCCUUGUUAACAUUACGAGAGGAGAAUAAAGCCAUUUCUUUAUUCUUGUCAUAUAGACUGUAAAGGAAGUGGAGUUCAAUGAUACUUAACUGACCUAGGUCUCACUCAGGUAACUCAGGAGGUGCUGAUGCAGAUGACUACUUCGAUGGAAGCUCAAAAGAUGGAGACCUGUGUUUUUGGAACCUAACAACUCUCAUGUCUGUACAGUCUUGUAAUCUGCUACCCUGUCUAUCAAAACAAUCAGAUUACUGUUUCCGCAUGGAGCUCAAACAUGAUGCAGAGGGAUGCCCUGGAGAAGGCCAGGCGGCUGAAUUGCUGGCAGAAACAUGCCCCUGAAACACAAAUCAAAUCCUUCAUUAAGAUCAUCCAGAUUACGGAGAACCAAAGCGAUAAGCACCCUCCUGAUUUUCUCCACUGCGCCAGCUCCAGGCAGUCCUCUCUAGGAUGCUGGUCUUUUGUUCUUGAGCACCUUUUCCUGGCUGAUUCACUAAGCUUCAUUGAUGGCAGGGAAUGGCUUCCUCAAGUUAAGAUGUCAAAGCAGUGGCCAGCUAGGGUGGCAGCCUGAAGU